CCUGCAGCCCAUUGAGAGUGACAGCGUCCAAUGUGGGCAGGGAGGUGUGAUCGGCGGCCCGCCGAUCUCGGGACAAGGAGGAGGUGGAUGUGUUGGGGGAGGCAUGGAUGUCCAUCGAGUGAAGAGGUCUGAGGUGGGUACCC